rnacentral:rRNA from 1 species
AUUGAACGCUGGCGGCAGGCUUAACACAUGCAAGUCGAGCGAGCGGCGGACGGGUGAGUAAUGUCUGGGAAACUGCCUGAUGGAGGGGGAUAACUACUGGAAACGGUAGCUAAUACCGCAUACCAUCAGAUGUGCCCAGAUGGGAUUAGCCAGUAGGUGGGGUAAUGGCUCACCUAGGCUACGAUCCCUAGCUGGUCUGAGAGGAUGACCAGCCAACAUGGAACUGAGAGACGGUCCAGACUCCUACCGGAGGCAGCAGUGGGGAAUAUUGCCCAAGGGGCGCAAGCCUGAUGCAGCCAGGCCGAGUGUGUGAAGAAGGCCUUCGGGUUGUAAAGCACUGUCAGCGAGGAGGCGUUACUCGCAGAAGAAGCACCGGCUAACUCCGUGCCAGCAGCCGCGGUAAUAC